rnacentral:tRNA from 3 species
GGAGCGGUAUCGAAGCGGUCAUAACGAGGCGGUCUUGAAAACCGUUUGCCCGAAAGGGCGCGUGGGUUCGAAUCCCACCCGCUCCGCCA